rnacentral:rRNA from 1 species
UACGGGGGGGGGCAAGCGUUUGUUCGGAAUUACUGGGCGUAAAGGGCUCGUAGGUGGCCAACUAAGUCAGACGUGAAAUCCCUCGGCUUAACCGGGGAACUGCGUCUGAUACUGGAUGGCUUGAGUUCGGGAGAGGGAUGCGGAAUUCCAGGUGUAGCGGUGAAAUGCGUAGAUAUCUGGAGGAACACCGGUGGCGAAGGCGGCAUCCUGGACCGACACUGACGCUGAGGCGCGAAAGCUAGGGUAGCAAACGGG